rnacentral:rRNA from 1 species
AGAGUUUGAUCAUGGCUCAGGAUGAACGCUAGCGGUAGGCUUAACACAUGCAAGUCGAGGGGUAACGAUUCCGUUUACGGAAGGCGACGACCGGCGCACGGGUGAGUAACGCGUAUGCAACCUACCCAUUACUGGAGCAUAGGCCGAAGAAAUUCGGAUUAAUACUCCAUAAUGUCAUUAGAUCACAUGUUCUGAUGAUUAAAGCUCCGGCGGUAAUGGAUGGGCAUGCGUGACAUUAGUUUGUUGGUGAGGUAACGGCUCACCAAGACUACGAUGUCUAGGGGGUCUUAAAGGAUGAUCCCCCACACUGGUACUGAGACACGGACCAGACUCCUACGGGAGGCAGCAGUGAGGAAUAUUGGUCAAUGGGCGAGAGCCUGAACCAGCCAAUCCGCGUGCAGGAUGACGGCCCUAUGGGUUGUAACUGCUUUUGUACGAGAAGAACUCCCUGACGUGUCAGGGGCUGACGGUAUCGUACGAAUAAGCAUCGGCUAACUCCGUGCCAGCAGCCGCGGUAAUACGGAGGAUGCGAGCGUUAUCCGGAUUUAUUAGGUUUAAAGGGUGCGUAGGCUGAAUAGUCAGUCAGUGGUGAAAUCCUGCGGCUUAACCGUAGAACUGCCAUUGAUACUGCUAUUCUUGAGUACAGUUGAGGUAGGCGGAAUGUGUAGUGUAGCGGUGAAAUGCUUAGAUAUUACACAGAACACCGANUNCGAAGGCAGCUUACUAAACUGUUACUGACGCUGAGGCACGAAAGCGUGGGGAGCGAACAGGAUUAGAUACCCUGGNAGUCCACGCCGUAAACGAUGAUCACUCGUNGUAUGCCUUUUUUGGUAUGCNACUGANCGAAAGCAUUNAGUGAUCCACCUGGGGAGUACGU